rnacentral:rRNA from 1 species
CCUACGGGAGACAGCAGUGAGGAAUAUUGGUCAAUGGCCGGAAGGCUGAACCAGCCAUGCCGCGUGAAGGUCAGUGCCCUAUGGGCGUUAAACUUCUUUUGUGCGGGAGCAAUAAUGGUCACGUGUGGCCAGACGAGAGUACCGUACGAAUAAGCAUCGGCUAACUCCGUGCCAGCAGCCGCGGUAAUACGGGGGAUGCAAGCGUUAUCCGGAUUUAUUGGGUUUAAAGGGUGCGUAGGCGGUGAGGUAAGUCAGCGGUGAAAUGCCCCCGCUCAACGGGGUGAAGUGCCAUUGAUACUGCCUGGCUGGAAUGCGGAUGCCGUGGGAGGAAUGUGUGGUGUAGCGGUGAAAUGCAUAGAUAUCACACAGAACACCGAUUGCGAAGGCAUCUCACGAAUCCGCGAUUGACGCUGAUGCACGAAAGCGUGGGUAUCAAACAGGAUUAGAUACCCUGGUAGUC